rnacentral:rRNA from 1 species
AGUGAACGCUGGCGGCAGGCCUAACACAUGCAAGUCGAGCGGCAGCGGGUCCUUCGGGAUGCCGGCGAGCGGCGGACGGGUGAGGAAUGCGUCGGAAUCUGCCUUUUUGUGGGGGAUAACGUAGGGAAACUUACGCUAAUACCGCAUACGACCUACGGGUGAAAGUGGGGGACCGCAAGGCCUCACGCAGAAAGAUGAGCCGACGUCGGAUUAGCUAGUUGGCGGGGUAAAGGCCCACCAAGGCGACGAUCCGUAGCUGGUCUGAGAGGAUGAUCAGCCACACUGGAACUGAGACACGGUCCAGACUCCUACGGGAGGCAGCAGUGGGGAAUAUUGGACAAUGGGCGCAAGCCUGAUCCAGCCACGCCGCGUGUGUGAAGAAGGCCUUCGGGUUGUAAAGCACUUUUGUCCGGAAAGAAAUCCUGUCGGCUAAUACCCGGCGGGGAUGACGGUACCGGAAGAAUAAGCACCGGCUAACUUCGUG